rnacentral:misc_RNA from 1 species
AUAUAAUAUCAACCUUGUGUUGGAUGUGGGGGUUUUGUUGGCCUUUGAGAGGUCAGCUCCCCUGAAAUGCAUUAGCGGAACUAACUUGCCGUUCAUUGGUGUGAUAAAACUAUCUACGUGAAAGGCAGGGUUCAGCUUCUAACAAGUCUAUCAUUUA